UCUCUCGCGCCAGCGUUAUAUUCCACCACGACACUUUACGCGCAUCGUUUGGUGCCGUGCGACAAACGGCAGGAAAGAAGCAAACGUGCACGGAAGGAUGGAAUCGAUUCUCGAUGCAGUGAAUUCGCGUUCCUUGCGGUCGCGUUCGCUCAACUGUGAAUAGUUGCAGCGGAGACAGUCAAGACGACAGCGCGACCUUCGUCAUCCGGCCGUCGAUCAGUGGCCUGCCGAAGCUGAAAGUCGAAUUUGCAGUCAUGUCCCGGCUGGUGGUCGAGUCCUGAAUUGCCGUGCCACCGUGCAAUUCAGCGCGCAUAUAGGCUUCCAGACAUUGCACGCAAUUAAGUUCCUGGCACGCUUUCACCGUGGUCUGAGAUACGGCGAACGUGUCGCUGAGGGGGCGUUGGGUCCUUGAACACAACUCGGGUCACUGGGCAGCAGCCUUUCACGACAGUGGUCGCCCGGCCAGUCAGGAAGCUUGCUUGCUACCAUGGGGGAACCGAGGCUGGAACUAGGGUUUUGACCCUGAGCAGGAGACGUCCUCGUCUUACCAUCAGCUGGCCCAUUUAACCUGCCACGUCGUCGAUGACAUGUGCCACGCGCGCGUUCCGGGAGUCCCCUCGGUCCUUGGCUGCGCAGCGUCGAGUGGACCGGCCCAGCUUUAGUGGCGGCCAGCCUCCACCAGCGGUGACCAGCAGCAGGCGCCGUGCAUCGGACAGAGCUGCCACCACGCAGCAGAGCGCGGCGCCACGCUGGGGCCCGCGGAUCGUGCGCCGGCGUGCGCUACUCGACGGCGCGGCGUCCGCCAUUGCCAGGAUGCUGCAACACGCGUUCCAGUCUUCGAUGUCAUGACGGCAUCUGUCUCCGUAGUUCUAGUCUUCGAGCUUUCCGAUGUUUCUUAUUUGGCACAACUAGUAGGACGUCCACAAGCACUGUCAUCCUCUAUUCUGUGAUCUUCCAAUAAGAUCCCUGCUGCCAGAAGGUUCCUCCAUGAUGUGAUUCGGAGGUGGAUGCACACAGCGGCCCAAUUCACUCCUCUCAACAUCCUCAGCUGUUGCGUCCACAAACGCUUUUUUGUUGUUGUUUUUUUUCGAAUUGUCCAGCUUUUGUUCCAGUGCACCAUAGCGCUGGCUCUUGCGAUCAACAGGGAAGACAACCCCUCAACCCACGCCGCCCAUAAACGCAGUGGGGACCCUAGCGACGGCCUUCGAUCCGCAUUUGAUUGGAAUUUUAAAGUUUUAAUAAACUCGCAUCGUUCAUUGUCAGUCUACUUCAGUUAUGCUGUUCAU